GUCAAGUCUAUUGCUUAGUUACCACAAUGGUUUGACGAUGAUGAUGAAGUACUUAAAACAUAUGACUGAGACUAAAGCCAGACUGUUCUUUCUACAGCUACCCCACACUCCUGAGGAAUGUUGGCCUGGCCCCAACGACAGUGGCCCUGUAUGUGGGCCAGGCCAUCUCCUUCAUGGAGUAUUUUCGCGAUACACCCCCCAAACACUCCAGACUAAAGGGGGGUGAACAGACCCUGUUGAUCCGGGAAAUCCGGAAACUGUACAGGGAUGUGGGUUGCAACCUCCUUGGACACCAGCUGUUGGUCAAGCAGACCAAACAGCAGCGGCUGGUGUCCAAGGAGGACCCGACUGCCUGCCAGUCCCUGGCCAAAUCGAGGAUGGCCGGACUCCUCGAGGACAUUGCAAAUGCGCCCCCCCGGGACCCCAAAACGAGGUACCGCUUCUUCGGGUACCUGGCGGCCUACCUGUGCUCAAUCUAUGGACACCGGUCCGGUGUACUAACGAAGAUGAGGGCAGGUCAGGGAGGCCGUCGGGGACCCAAAGGCAGGGUACCUCAUUAAUGUCUUGGACCACAAGACUGUGAGGAAGUUUGAGGUGGCGCAGCUCUACCUGGAGCCCGAGGAGUACUCAUGGUUUACUGAAUGGCUCUGACUUCGCAUGAGAUCAUUGCCCACCAAGGGGUAUUUUUUCUCGUCCCUUGGCCGGGGGGAGGCAAAGGACUUAGUGAAGUACUUCCGGGCGGCGUGGGCAGAGAUGGGCUUCCAGGGAGCGCCCACUUUAAUGGACGAGGUCGGCGGUGUCCACCUAUAACUUCGAAUCCAAUGAUACUGAGGUGCGGGACCACGUCGCCACUUUCAUGUGCCACAACGUGAAGACCCAGGAAAGGUUCUAUGCGCUUCACAACACACUGAAGCGGGCGAAGCAGAUGAGAGAGCUGUUCGUCAGUCUCUCCCUGAGACGAGGCGAACGAGCGCUCUCAUCCCCUUCUGCCUCCUCCGCCGACCCCUCCAAAGCAGUGGAGGAGUCCAAGGUGACGCCACGGAAGAAGCCAUCCGCUUCACAGAUUUUAGCAAAAAAGGUGAAAGUGAAGCUGGGGUUUAGCCCGAGAAAAAAAUAUCCCAAAAGGAAAU